CGGGACAGCUCCUCCGGGGCCAGCGGGCACCAGGCUUGGGGGCUGAGGCCCAGCGGCCCGAGACCAACUGGGCGGACCGAGGCCGCCUCCCCGCCAGCCCUGGGGUCCACUGCCCGGGGAGCAGCUCCCUUCCGAGGUCAGACUCGGGCUUCAUUCUCUCUUGCCGCGCGCCGAGCGGUUUUCAACUCUCACUGCUAGAAUUCCUCCAGCCACCCAGGAUAGCAGGACCGAGAUACAUGGCCACCCAUGACCCGGAGCGUCCACUUCCAGGGACAGGCAGUGGUGAUUGGCUUCGGUUGUCAUCUGUGCCAUCUGUCCAUGGUUCGAAAAGCUGCUGUUCACGUUUUGGGGAGGAUCAUGGUUUGAGGGCUCCCGUGGUAGAAUUUGGGGAGCUCUCAUAGGCAGAAGGCUGAGAAAAGUUGGUGCUGUGGGAAGUCAGCUGGCAGCCGAUGGAGUCAGGACCAGGGAGGAAGGGAAAGGGAACCCAGAUAGGAAGCUACUGCAGUAGGCUCAGAGAGGUGAUGACGGCAGGGCUAAGACAGCGGCCUUGGGCGGUGACUGGGAAGAACGAUGAACACCGUGUUUGGGUUGAAGAAAAGAGCAAGGGAAGAGUCCCAGCUGCUCUGGAGGUUGAGGCAGGAGGAUGGCUUGAACCCAAGAGGUGGAGGCCGAAGUGAGCCAAGAUCGCGCUACUGCACUCCAGCCUGGGCGACAGGGCAAAACCCUGUCUCUAAAAAGAACUUUUUAAAAAAGCACCUGUAGAUUUAAGCACAUAAUAACUACACUUUUGUCUGUUUUAUUAUGAUAUCAAAGUUAAAUUUAUGAUGAAUGACUAACUGGACAAAACUGAGAGCAACCACCACAGAGGUGAAUAUACUGAAUGUAUAACGCUCUCUAAUAAUUUUAAGAACUCCGCUCUAAUGAGCAGAUAUCACAGAAAGAAACUUUUCAGAUGAAAUACCGAUGACCAGGAAAUCUGUGAGACCAUUUUAAAAAAUUCGAAGUCAUUGAAGAAAUGCAAAGCUUCCAGGCUCCACUUUUCACUCAUGAAAUUGGCAGAGUUCAGGACAAUGAGAUGUUGCUGUCCCGGGAGUGCGGAUGGGGCUGUGUCCUGUGAUGGCGGUGGGCACUGGCACUCUUGUCCAGAAAGACAUUCGCCACUGUGGUUCAAGAAGCACCUCAAAGGUCUUCACCUUGGUCCCUUGUCUACCUCUGCCCGCGGUCUCUCCUCCUUUCAGCCUCCUCUUUCCCACACAGUCCCUCCCGCCCUGGCUUGGUCCCCUUUCUUCUGACUGGCUCAGGCAUGUGGGUGACUCUUUGACUCCCAAGGCUCUGUCUACUUGGCUUUUUUCUUUCACCUGUUCUGUGGAAUAACAGCCUGAUUCGUUCCUCUUUUUGGGUCCUUCACUUCCAUACCUGGGAUUCGGGGCGUGGCCCAGAAAGACCCUGCAGUCGUGCAGUGUGGGGCUGCCAAAAUUUCAUGGCCUCCAAGCUCAGCUGGGCUGAAUGAACGCUGCCGUCCAGCUCUUGGCUCGUUUUCUGUCCCAUUUUCCUGAGUGCUUUUGCCAGACUUUCACUUUUCUGAAAUCUACUCCACCCUACCCCAGACACACCCUCUCUCCUCGGAUGACCUGCCUCCUAAUUUCCUGAGAAAACUGGACAUGGCCACCUUUCCCCAAUGUCUGAGGCCCAGGUUGACCCGUGGUCAUGGUCGCUGUCACCACCCACCUGCCUGUAUGACAGAGUGAGACCCUGUCUCAAAAAAAAAAUAAAAAGAAUGCCUCAUGUUAGGCUGGGUGUAGUGGCUUAUGCCUGCAAUCCCAGCACUUUGGGAGGCUGAGGCAGGAGGAUAGUUUGAGCCCAGGAGUUCAAGGUCAACCUGGGCAAGAGAGGGAGACCCUGUCUCUACAGAUAAUUUUUAAAAAUUAAGGCAGGGCAUGAUGGCUCGUGCACGUAAUCCCAGCACUUUGGGAGGCUGAGUCAGGACGAUUGCAUGAGCCCAGGAAUUCAAGACCAGCCUGGGCAAUGUAGAGAGACCUCCAUCUCUACAAAGAAUUUUUAAAAAUUAAGGCAAGGUAUGGUGGCUGAUGCCUGUAAUCCCAGCACUUCGGGAGGAUGAAGUAGGAGGAUAGAUUUAGCCCAGGAGUUGGAGGCUGCAGUGAGCCAUAAUCACACCACUGCACCUCCAGCAUGGGCAACAGCAUAAGACCCUAUCUGAAAAUACAUAAAUAGAAGAAAAAGUUAGCUAGGUGUGGUGGUGCAUUCUUGUGGUCCCAACUACUCAGGAGGCUGAGGUGGGACAAUCAC
rnacentral:lncRNA from 1 species